AGCGAACGCUGGCGGCAGGCCUAACACAUGCAAGUCGAACGAACUCUUCGGAGUUAGUGGCGGACGGGUGAGUAACACGUGGGAACGUGCCUUUUGGUUCGGAAUAACUCAGGGAAACUUGUGCUAAUACCGAAUGUGCCCUUCGGGGGAAAGAUUUAUCGCCAUUAGAGCGGCCCGCGUCUGAUAAGCUAGUUGGUGAGGUAACGGCGCACCAAGGCAACGAUCAGUAGCUGGUCUGAGAGGAUGACCAGCCACACUGGGACUGAGACACGGCCCAGACUCCUACGGGAUGCAGCAGUGGGGAAUCUUGCGCAAUGGGCGAAAGCCUGACGCAGCCAUGCCGCGUGAAUGAUGAAGGUCUUAGGAUAGUAAAAUUCUUUCACCGGGGACGAUAAUGACGGUACCCAAAGAAGAAGCCCCGGCUAACUUCGUG
rnacentral:rRNA from 1 species